AUUGUGGCUCAGUGGUGGAGCAUUUGCCUAGCAUGUGAAGAUUCUGGGUUCUAUCCCCAGCACCAAUA
rnacentral:tRNA from 1 species